UUAAUAGAUUUUGCUUGUUUUUCAGACGUGUACGACAACUACAGAGGGUUUGUUGUGUCCCGGUGGCAGGCGGACCUGCCGAGGAAACGGGGGUGCUCAAAAGGUGGCAAGGGUUCUAUUCCAACCGCGGCAGAGCCGCGCUUGAUAAUGAUCCUUCCGCAGGUUCACCUACGGAAA
rnacentral:misc_RNA from 1 species